UUCAGCUUCAGCUUCAGCUAGCCGAAGAGUUUUGAAAAACGCUUUUUCCAAAACGCUCUCGAACAGGCUUUGCCAAGACUGCCCGAAAUCAAUGGUUACGCUGUAGUGGUGUGGAUCCAUUCCGGCGACUUCUCCACCGGCAGUCCGGCGGAUGUGGA
rnacentral:misc_RNA from 1 species